GAUGAACGCUGGCGGCGUGCCUAAUACAUGCAAGUCGAACGCUGGAAAUCUAGCUGCUAGAUUGAAGGAGUGGCGAACGGGUGAGUAAUACAUAAGCAACCUACCCACGAAGACUGGGAUAAUCUCUGGAAACGGGGACUAAUACCGGAUAGGUAAUCGGAAGGCAUCUUCUGAUUAUUAAAGGUUAAAAACACUGGUGGAUGGGCUUAUGGCGCAUUAGUUAGUUGGUGAGGUAACGGCCCACCAAGACGAUGAUGCGUAGCCGGCCUGAGAGGGUGAACGGCCACAUUGGGACUGAGACACGGCCCAGACUCCUACGGGAGGCAGCAGUAGGGAAUUUUCGGCAAUGGGGGAAACCCUGACCGAGCAACGCCGCGUGAGUGAUGACGGCCUUCGGGUUGUAAAGCUCUGUUGUAAGGGAAGAACGGUAGAUAGAGAAUAUCUAAAUGACGGUACCUUACCAGAAAGCCACGGCUAACUACGUG
rnacentral:rRNA from 1 species